AUCUUUUUUACUCAGUGUCGAACAACAGGUCGAGUAGGAACAAAGCAUGAUUGUUUCCGCACGAGAAGGAUUUGCUUCACGUGUGCCCGCCAUGGUUCGUUGCCGCAGUUACGUGAUUUUGGGCUUGAGAAUAAGUGGGUACAAUAAGAACAACAGGCGCCGGGAGGAUAUCCACUUUUUGUAUCAGUCCCCAUAAGUGAUAUUUAUUCAGUCGCAAACCGCACGCCGCCGUUACUCUAAAGGAGAGUGAAACGUAAUCACAUGUUAUCUGGCCUAGUAUAUCUAUUAAUACGAAGGGAUACGCCGAGCAACGAUUCCUUGGAAGGGGCAGCAGGGAAAACGGGAAAGCAAACCAAAAUCCGGUUACCGAGCAAUAAAAGGAGAUAUAUGGAAGCCUCUUGCAGCAUCCGGAUAAACGCUGAAGGAACCCGAUUCUCAAUGAUCACGGAUUCUCCAGGUGCAUCCAAUUGCCACGCGUAACUAUAAAUGAGUGUUAAUUGAACGGCCUUUUUACAGAAUUGAUUUCAAGCACAUCUCACCGUACUUUCAGAAUUCAAAUCACGAAACGGCGAAAGGCUUUCACGGAGCAAUGUGCAUCCAAAUGAACGAACCGUUCGGAGGAUGCUGUAAACUGGAAAGGACGAACAUUUCGAUGAGGAAGAGCAGUCACGCGAAUGUAUCAGCCAGUACGGAAACAGCAAAUGGCACUCGGACGUGCUCCCGCCGCAUCACGUGCAUUUCCGACCAACUGAGAACAUAUGCCUAGGGAUAAAGUGAGCCGGGAUUGGCCGAUGAUUCAUUAAAAACAACUACCAUUCAUUGAUUUAUGCUGAAGUGCCAUGGAUAUAAGACGACGAUGCUAAAAAAAUUACGGGAUAAAAAUGCAUCGGCAUGAAUCAAUAAACAAAUGGUUGCAUGCGUUUGAAUAAUUCAGUGCUGAAGAGUGCAGCUUAGUGUUUGAUGUUUGCAAUUAAUAUGGGGAAUUUAAGCAAUUGUUUUCAAUUUUACAUUGCUAUGAUACCAAAAUUUGCCCAAUUUUAUGGGAUCCAAAAUCAAAUCCAUUAAAUGUUUGAUUUGGAUAAAGCGAUUAUGAUGACCCGCUCAAAUGUGUAGCCACUUCAUUGGUUUCAAGUCUUUCUGUUAAUUCUAGGUACCGUAAUUGGGGGUGGAGUUGAACAGUGAGAAGAAGUUGAUCAUUGGGGAAAAUUCGAUCAGGCCGGUACCUCUCAAGGAUGCUUAAGGUUUCAUUGACAUGACAGACAUUCCAUGUUUUCUAAUAAUGAAGAAAUAUUUCGAUUUACCUAGAUUUCUAUUGAUGAAUUCAAACUUAAAUAAGUUUAAAAUGAUUAGUUCUGCACAAAAAUAUUUACAGCUUUUGAAAGUGUAGGCAAGGCUUGCCAAAAACUUUUUGAGCCGCGGGUCAAAUAGUCACAUGAAAUCUGACAAAAGUCAGUGAAGCAAAUUUAUUUUGGAGGAAUCGAAAAAAGGAUAAUUACUGCCAAGUAUCCAACUGUGAUACUGCGAAAAUGCUUUUCUGAAUCGUACAAUAAUCUUAACCAGGAUAUUAAAAAAAAAACUAUUCAAAAAAUUUUAGAACUUUUGAGAAUAAUGUCCAGGAUAUUAUAAAAAAAUGGCAAUAUCCCACCUAGCAUUAUUUGUCAUCCUGCAUGAGAUAUUGUGAAAGUCAUGACACGAAAUGUAUGAAAUUCCUUAUCAAGUUUUUGUGAUAAUCUUGAUCAGAAUCAUGUGAGAGUUCUGCCCGGAAUUUUACAAGGAUUGUGUCAAUGAUUCCUGCAGAAUCUUUUAAGAAAGCUGCCCAGGAUAUCAAAAGAAACCUGUGCAUAGAACUAUUAUAUAUUAACCUUAGAUUCUUUAUAAUCUUACUUAGGGUUAUAUUUGUAAAAAAAUAUGCAUUAAAUUCGAUAUAAAUCUCAAACAGAAGUCUAUGAAAUCUUGAUGAACAUUAUGUGAGAAUUCUGCCUAUAUUGUCCGAUAAAGUUGAGUCCAGAAUAAUGCAAGUUGCGUCCACAUUCGAUCCAAAAUUAUGUGAAUAAGUUAUUUCUUUUUUAUAAUUCUUACAAGGAUUCUGCGUCACUCACUGUCAGUAGCAGUGGAAGAAAUCGUUGAGCAAACUCUAUUCAUGCAUUACAGAAAAAUGCAACCGCAACGAUGAUUCCUUUUGUGCGAUUGUGCACAGAAAAAACCCGUUCUCGUAUCCGUGAACAACAGACGUGAACUCGUCAACAAGCAAAAAUACACCGUGAACUAGAUCAUGUUUAUGUGACCGUUGGUGGUAGUUCAUGG